GCAUGUGGUUGAAGGUGGAGCUCUUAUAUGCAAACAUCUUCAGUUCUUGACUUUGCUAUAGUUUCCUUCUUUGGUAAUCACUAUCCUGCUUUCUGAGCUGAUUAGUGGGUUGAUGUCGAACUGGUGUUCAAUUAGUGAUGGGACUUGAUCAUCGAAUCUUUUGAGGAACGCCAAGUGUUUAGUAACAUGUCUGAGUCCCAAGUUGAGUUUUAGGAAUGAUUAUACUUGGUCAUGAUUGAAAGAAUUAUGUUUUUUCUGCACGCCCUAUUUGUGCUAGGUGUUCAGCCUCAUCAGGGUGUCAUGUUUGGUUAGGUUGGACACUGGCCAAUCUGUUAAUCCAAAUGGCCGUCUUAGGUUGCUCAGCAGUCCUCUAUUUAAGAAUGAUUCCUCGUUUGACUAGUCUCCAUGUCUGCCGUCUCUUCUGACUCAUCAUCCCUUCUUUUGCCUGUUUUGAAAACACAAAAAUAAAGUAAAAAUUUGGACACGUGUUGAGACACUUCUUGAACAAUAUCGGACACUUGACCAUAUAGUUUAGCAUGAAGGUAGAGACAAUAAAGAAUUUUUUCCCACUUGAAUUGAACUUAUGUGGUUAUGCUCUCUUCGAGUCGGAGUUCAUUUUCUAAAAGGUUCGGACUUUUGUACUUUGUUGGGUCCCUUCUUUGACUUAGGUUAUGUUAAAAGGAUAUCUAUCUAUUGAAUUAGGUUAUGUUAAAAGGAUAUCUAUCAAAUUCCAAUCGAUAUUAGAAGUACAUUUACUUUGUAAUAUAGAUAAAAAUGGAAUCAGGAAAUUGGCGUCAUUGGUUGAAAAGGGAGUACCUUGGUUCUGUACUUAAGCACUCAAACGGUGAAAGAAUUGUCAUAUGACAGGCUUGUCAGCUUGACCUAGAGUCUUGUGGAUGAAAAAAUAGCGAGGAAGUUCUCACCAUUGAGAACAAGAAGCUCAAGGCAAGCAUUCGUCUUCAUAUGCGAGGAAGACUGAUGUGGCCAAAGAUUGUGCAUAUGUUUUCAUUUGUAGGGAUCGUUCAAUCGAAUACAGUAGUCAUGCUAUAAUUUAAUGAGCUUUUAGAGUAUGAGAGGUUAUACCUUCCAAACCCAUGGAAAAAUUACUGUAUUAUACUCGAAAUAGCUACCAAGAUCCUUUGAAGUUGAUUCAGUUUAUCGUUAACUUUCUCUAUAUGCUUUUAUUAGCG
rnacentral:lncRNA from 1 species